AUGUGAUCGUCUCUCGCAUAUCAAUAAGCGGAGGAAAAGAAACUAACAAGGAUUCCCCUAGUAACGGCGAGUGAAGCGGGAAGAGCUCAAAUUUGAAAUCUUAAAGGGUUUCCCUUUACGAAUUGUAGUUUAAAGAAGUGUUUUCUGUUGAGGUUUUGGUAAAAGUUCUUUGGAAUAGGACAUCAUAGAGGGUGAGAAUCCCGUAUUUGACCUUUACUUUCAACUUUGUGAUACACUUUCAAAGAGUCGGAUUGUUUGGGAAUGCAGUCCAAAAUGGGUGGUAAAUUUCAUCUAAAGCUAAAUAUUGGCGAGAGACCGAUAGCGAACAAGUACCGUGAGGGAAAGAUGAAAAGAACUUUGAAAAGAGAGUUAAACAGUACGUGAAAUUGUCAAAAGGGAAGCGUUUGACACCAGUGUUGUUUUUCUGAAAAUCAAUUAAAGAACUGUUUAUGCUAAGUUGUUUAGACUUUAUCAGCUAACUGUUUAGUUUUGAGCUUUUCUUUAAUGCACUUUUCAGUUAACAAGUCAACAUCAAUUUCUUUUGCUGUAAAAAAGCUUGAGGAAGGUGGCUUGAGAUUCGUCUUAAGUGUUUAUAACCUCAUGCCUAUGCAGUCGGAGAGAUUGAGGUCUGCAGCGUAGAUCCUUCGGGGCUAAAUGCAUUUGUGCUAAGUUAUAGCAUUUUAUAGACAACUUGUUGACUAUGAUUUGUCUUGUAGCUUACUCGCUUAUGUUAUUUUACCUACGCUUAGGAUGUUGAAGACUCUACAGAGAUA
rnacentral:rRNA from 1 species